UCCGUAGGCGGGCUAAUAAGUCAGAGGUGAAAUCCCACAGCUUAACUGUGGCACUGCCUUUGAUACUGUUGGUCUUGAGUCAUAAUGAGGUAGAUGGAAUGUGUAGUGUAGCGGUGAAAUGCAUAGAUAUUACACAGAACACCGAUUGCGAAGGCAGUCUACUAAUUAUGAACUGACGCUGAGGGACGAAAGCGUGGGUAGCGAACAGGAUUAGAUACCCUGGUAGUCC
rnacentral:rRNA from 1 species